rnacentral:rRNA from 1 species
UACGUAGGGUGCGAGCGUUAAUCGGAAUUACUGGGCGUAAAGCGUGCGUAGGCGGUUCGCUGUGUCCGAUGUGAAAGCCCCCGGGCUUAACCUGGGAAUGGCAUUGGAAACUGGCGGGCUUGAGUGUGGCAGAGGGGGGUGGAAUUCCGGCGUGUAGCAGUGAAAUGCGUAGAGAUGCGGAGGAACACCGAUGGCGAAGGCAGCCCCCUGGGUUAACACUGACGCUCGAGGCA